GCUGGCGGCAGGCCUAACACAUGCAAGUCGAACGGAGUUAUAUUGUAGCUUGCUAUGGUAUAACUUAGUGGCAGACGGGUGAGUAAUGUAUAGGAAUCUACCUAGUAGUACGGAAUAAUUGUUGGAAACGGCAACUAAUACCGUAUACGCCCUACGGGGGAAAAAUUUAUUGCCAUUAGAUGAGCCUAUAUUAGAUUAGCUAGUUGGUGGAGUAAUAGCCUACCAAGGCAAUGAUCUAUAGCUGAUCUGAGAGGAUGAUCAGCCACACUGGAACUGAGAUACGGUCCAGACUCCUACGGGAGGCAGCAGUGGGGAAUAUUGGACAAUGGGCGAAAGCCUGAUCCAGCCAUGCCGCAUGAGUGAAGAAGGCCUUUGGGUUGUAAAGCUCUUUUAGUGAGGAAGAUAAUGACGGUACUCACAGAAGAAGUCCUGGCUAACUCCGUGCCAGCAGCCGCGGUAAUACGGAGAGGGCUAGCGUUAUUCGGAAUUAUUGGGCGUAAAGGGCGCGUAGGCGGAUUAGUAAGUUAAAAGUGAAAUCCCAAGGCUCAACCUUGGAAUUGCUUUUAAAACUGCUAAUCUAGAGAUUGAAAGAGGAUAGAGGAAUUCCUAGUGUAGAGGUGAAAUUCGUAAAUAUUAGGAGGAACACCAGUGGCGAAGGCGUCUAUCUGGUUCAAAUCUGACGCUGAGGCGCGAAGGCGUGGGGAGCAAACAGGAUUAGAUACCCUGGUAGUCCACGCUGUAAACGAUGAAUGUUAAAUAUGGGAAGUUUUACUUUCUGUAUUACAGCUAACG
rnacentral:rRNA from 1 species